rnacentral:rRNA from 1 species
UACGGGGGGGGCAAGCGUUGUUCGGAAUUACUGGGCGUAAAGGGUUUGUAGGUGGCUUGUUAAGUCAGACGUGAAAUCCCUCAGCUUAACUGGGGAACUGCGUCUGAUACUGGCGAGCUUGAGUGCAGGAGAGGAACGCGGAAUUCCAGGUGUAGCGGUGAAAUGCGUAGAUAUCUGGAGGAACACCGGUGGCGAAAGCGGCUCACUGGACCCGAUCUGACACUGAGGUGCGAAAGCUAGGGUAGCAAACGGG